rnacentral:ncRNA from 1 species
GCGCAACGCGUGCUUGAUCACAAUUGUUCGGAACUUCACACCUUUGAGGCGUGCCGUUCGGAUGUACUGCGCUGUCAUAACUUCCGUCAUCGAUGCGCGGGUCAUACGCGCGAUAUAACCCAUGCCAUAGAGGGCGAUUGUUAUCACGGGCAGGAAGAAGUUUUGGAAAUUUGCAUCA